GAUGAAGAACGCAGUGAAAUGCGAUAAGUGAUGUGAAUUGCAGAAUUCAGUGAAUCAUCGAAUCUUUGAACGCACCUUGCACCCUUUGGCAUUCCGAAGGGUAUGCUCGUUUGAGUGUCAUUGUACUCUCACUCUCCCGAUCUUUGGAUCGGGAGUGGUGGACUUGGGUGUUGCUGCUUUACCGUGGCUCACCUCAAAUGGAUUCGUGCAACUCCUGGUUGGACAUAGUACGGCGUGAUAAGUGUCUUCGCCGGCACCUCACUAGAGGGUGGCUGACCGGGAGCUCUGUGCUUCAAACCGUCUUCGGACAACAACUGACAACUUGACCUCAAAUCGAGUAGGACCACCCGCUGAACUUAAGCAUAUCAAUAAGCGGAGGA
rnacentral:misc_RNA from 1 species